rnacentral:rRNA from 1 species
UACGUAGGGGGGCAAGCGUUUGUCCGGAUUUAUUGGGCGUAAAGCGUGCGUAGACGGUUACGUAAGUCGGGUGUGAAAGCCCCGGGCUCAACCUGGGAAUUGCAUUCGAGACUGUGUAGCUAGGGUGCGGAAGAGGGAAGCGGAAUUUCCGGUGUAGCGGUGAAAUGCGUAGAUAUCGGAAGGAACAUCAGUGGCGAAAGCGGCUUCCUGGUCCAGCACCGACGUUCAGGCACGAAAGCGUGGGGAGCAAACAGG